rnacentral:rRNA from 1 species
AACGAACGCUGGCGGCGUGCCUAACACAUGCAAGUCGAGCGGGAAAGUUCCCUUCGGGGAGCGAGUACAGCGGCGAACGGGUGAGUAACACGUAGGUAACCUACCCUGGAGUCCGGGAUAACCUGCCGAAAGGCGGGCUAAUACCAGAUAAGACCACGAGGGCUGCGGCCCUUGGGGAAAAAGAUGGCCUCUGCUUGCAUGCUAUCACUCCGGGAUGGGCCUGCGCGCCAUUAGCAGUUGGUGAGGUAACGGCUCACCAAGGCUGAGAUGGCUAGCUGGUCUGAGAGGAUGGCCAGCCACACUGGGACUGAGGCACGGCCCAGACUCCUACGGAGGCAGCAGUGGGAAUAUUGCGCAAAUGGGCGAAAGCCUGACGCAGCGACGCGCGUGGGUGAUGAAGGCC